GACGAACGCUGGCGGCGUGCUUAACACAUGCAAGUCGAGCGAGGCCCCUCCUUCGGGAGGGUGUCCUAGCGGCGAACGGGUGGGUAACACGUGGGCAACCUGCCCUCAGCUCUGGGAUAACUCCGGGAAACCGGGGCUAAUACCGGAUACGACCUCCACGGGCAUCUGCGGAGGUGGAAAGUUUUUCGGCUGAGGAUGGGCCCGCGGCCUAUCAGCUAGUUGGUGGGGUAGUGGCCCACCAAGGCGACGACGGGUAGCCGGCCUGAGAGGGCGACCGGCCACACUGGGACUGAGACACGGCCCAGACUCCUACGGGAGGCAGCAGUGGGGAAUAUUGCGCAAUGGGCGAAAGCCUGACGCAGCGACGCCGCGUGAGGGACGAAGGCCUUCGGGUUGUAAACCUCUUUCAGCAGGGACGAAGCGAAAGUGACGGUACCUGCAGAAGAAGCACCGGCCAACUACGUG
rnacentral:rRNA from 1 species